rnacentral:rRNA from 1 species
AGUCGGGGAUUUUUUGCAAUGCGCGCAAGCGUGACAAAGCGAACCAGAGUGUUUCUCUUUUUGAGAGACUUUUGUUAGCUGUAAAAAGGCUAACGAAUAAGGACUGGGCAAGACCGGUGCCAGCCGCCGCGGUAAUACCGGCGGUCCAAGUCGCAGCCACAUCUAUUGGGUCUAAAACAUCCGUAGCUUGUUAUGUAAGUCUCUUGUGAAAUCUUGUCUCUUAAGGGCAAGGCGUGCAAGAGAUACUGUAUAACUAGAGACCGGGGGAUGUGAAGAGUACGAUCGAGGUAGUGGUAAAAUACGUUGAUCUCAAUCGGACUAACAAUAGCGAAGGCACUUCACAACAACGGUUCUGACAGUGAGGGAUGAAGGCUAGGGGCGCAAAACGGAUUAGAUACCCGUGUAGUCCUAGCAGUAAACACUGCGCACUAAACCUUGUGAUCUCCUCGAGAGAUUGCAGGGCUGAAAGGAAGCUGUAGAGUGCGCUACCUGGGAAGUAUAGUCGCAAGGCCGAAACUUAAAGGAAUUGGCGGGGGAGCACUACAACGGGUGACGCGUGCGGUUCAAUUAGAUUACACACCGUGAACCUUACCAGGACCGACAGCAGGAUGAAGGUCAGUCUGAAGGGCUUACCUGACACGCUGAGAGGUGGUGCAUGGCC